UGCGGCUUAAUUUGACUCAACACGGGGAAACUUACCAGGUCCAGACAUAGUAAGGAUUGACAGACUGAGAGCUCUUUCGAUUUUUUUUUUUUUUUUUUUUGAGGUGAAUGUG
rnacentral:ncRNA from 1 species